UAAUCUCAUUUCUCUCUCAAAACCCUAAAAAUUUCUCAUGCUUAGAUUUUUCUGUUUCUUAGUCUGUUACUGCCGUGAGCCGUGAGCCGUGAGCCGUGAGGAAGAAUUAUCCGUGCCAGAGGCAUAUCUCCUGCCUGUGAUGGCUACACAACCCUCUAAGAAGUUCUGAGCUCUGUGCCAUUUUGUUUUUCUGGUUUUCAAAGUAAUGAUUUUUGUUUUCCAAAGAUUUCUCUUUUCUUUCUCCCAGAGGGAAUGGUGGAGAUGACGAAAAAGGCGAGGUGACGAUAAAAAUUCAUUAGUCAAUUUGCUGACAACAAUGAUGUUAUUAUGAAUCCCGACAGGAAAAUAAUGAAGAUUAAAAUUUACCUAAAAGAAAUAGGCUGAGUAGGCCAGUAUCUCAUAUUUCUCAAGGAGACAGGAAGAGUUCGAAGGAUGAAUGCGUCUCCCCAGUCAAGCUCUUGCUCUUCAGACUGAUUAUAGGCUUGGCCAUAGCCUUCAAUACUAUUUGGCUGCUGUGCAUAAGCUUUUUUCUUCACUAAUGGCAGUUUGAAGAAUUCUUCUAUGUCAAUCUUCAUUUUUUCAAUGACUUCCUCUGGAACCUUAUGAUUGGUUAACUGUUUCAUCAUCACAAUUACUCAUGAUCAAAUUGUGCCCUAUUUGAGUUAAAUCAAUGGUGAACUUUUAGACCCUGCAACUGAAUUUUGGACAAAAGUUGUGUGAUCUACCUGAAAGAAUCCCCAGUCUUUACAAGCUAAAUGAAGUUUUGCCACUUCAUCAUGGUGCCAUGGAUGUUGAUCGUCAAUCAGUUUGGUCAUAUCAAUUACUGGAAGCUCGCGUGAUUCUUGGACAGAAACUGGAUCGAGCUCAGCUUCAGGCCGGAGAUAGCGAGACGGGAUUUCUUUCUGGUUUUUUGAAGCUAGUUCUUGAACACUUUCAAUUGGGAGUGAACUGCCAUAGUCAACGCUUGAAAGCUCUUGAGUCUCCAUUUCUCUUUAGUUUUUAAUAUGGUCACAUGUAUCUUUAGAAUGAAAUACUACUUGUAUUUGCACGAUGAUUGAGUGAUUUUAAAAGCCAACCUCGUGGUAUUUGCUUAUAUUAUUUAAUUGUUGGACACGACACCAAGUGGGUAGUGGGUAGUGGGUAGUGGGUAGAUAUAGUUUGAUAUUAUUGUCUUUACUUUUAGAUUAUUUUUGUUUAUGUUUCUCUUAAACUUCAUCUAAGAAGAAAUUGUGAUGAUAAAAUUUUGUUCAGCUAAGAAAGAAGUUAGCAAGUCAUUCGAAAAAAUCAAUGCAAUUACUACAAGAAAUCGAUUCUAGCAACUAAAAAUCAUUGAAAGUAAAAAAUCUAAUCUAAAUAACAAAAUACUAUUAAAAAAUAACAUUUUUACUGUUAUUCUGCAAUAAUAAUUUUUGUAAAGUUUUUUUUUUACAAAAAUACUAUUUGUUCUCCUUUAGGCGGCAAGAUUCCUCCUUCUUAGGCGACUCACGACGCCUCCGUAAUUAGCCACCACAAACCCAGCAAGGAGAGAACUCCAUGAACACCGAUGAGAAAUCUCCAUGGACGUCGGCACGAACUACUUGUUCUCUCAUUCCCAGGCGGCAAUACCACUCCUUCUCAAGCGACCCACGACGCCGAUUACAGCCAAUCUCGAUCUGAAAUAGCAUGACACCUACAACCGAUCUCGAUUAGGUUUCACUUAUAUUUGUUUGUUGAUGUGCAAUCAACGUAAGUGAUAACUCUUGAAUAAAGAGUUAUUCAUGUGCUUUUGAACUUAUAAUUGUGAAAAAAUUAUGUGUGAUGUUAGUUUAUUUUUAGCUUUUGUAGCUAACUUUGGUGUUUUUAUUAUCUUAAUUAAGUUUAAUUAUUUUUGUAGUUUUUAAUUUGGGUUAAAGGUAAUAGUUUCAUUGAUAAAUAUUUGCACAAAGAAUGAACUAACAUGUGAAACUAUCUUGAUUGAAUUUUGUCGUUGAUGGCUGAAUUAUCAAGUUUUGCUGAAGCA